rnacentral:rRNA from 1 species
GAUAAACGCUGGCGGCGCACAUAAUACAUGCAAGUUGAACGGACUUAAUCGAAAUAUUUAUAUUUUGAAGCGGUUAGUGGCGGACUGGUGAGUAACGCGUAAGGAACCUGCCUAUUAGAGGGGAAUAACAGUGAGAAAUCAUUGCUAAUACCGCAUAUGCCAUAGAUAUCAUAUGAUAACAGUGGGAGAGGAGCAAUCCGCUAAUAGAUGGCCUUGCGUCUGAUUAGAUAGUUGGUGGGGUAACGGCCUACCAAGUCGACGAUCAGUAGCCGGACUGAGAGGUUGAACGGCCAAAUUGGGACUGAGAUACGGCUCAGACUCCUACGGGAGGGAGCAGUAGGGAAUAUUGCGAAAUGGAGGAAACUCUGACGCAGUGACGCCGCGUAUAGGAAGAAGGUUUUCGGAUUGUAAACUAUUGUCGUUAGGGAAGCGAAAGGACAGUACCUAAGGAGGAAGCUCCGGCUAACUACGUG